AGACACUUUCUGGGAAACCACAGUGG
rnacentral:piRNA from 1 species